rnacentral:rRNA from 1 species
AACGAACGCUGGCGGCAUGCCUAACACAUGCAAGUCGAACGAGACCUUCGGGUCUAGUGGCGCAUGGGUGCGUCACGCGUGGGAACCUGCCCGUAGGCUCGGAAUAACUCCCCGACAGGGGUGCUAAUAUAGGAUAAUGUCUUCGGAUAAAAGAUUUAUCGCCUUUGGGUGGGCCCGCGUUGGAUUAGCUUGUUGGUAUGGUAAAAGCCUACCAAGGCGACGAUACAUAGCUGGGUUGAGAGGAUGAUCAGCCACACUGGGACUGAGACACGGCCCAGACUCCUACGGGAGGCAGCAGUGGGGAAUAUUGGACAAUGGGCGAAAGCCUGAUCCAGCAAGGCCGCGUGAGUGAUGAAGGCCUUAGGGAUGUAAAGCUCUUUUACCCGGGAUGAUAAUGACAGUACCGGGAGAAUAAGCACCGGCUAACUCCGUG